rnacentral:lncRNA from 1 species
GAAUCGAGUUUCAAUUUAUGUCACGGUCGACGAACUGGGUUUAGAAUUAUCGGAUACUCUUGACGAACUGGAGCUGAAUUUUAGAAUUUACAGGACCUGAAGUUUGUUUACAGAGGUGGAGAAGUGAAGAUUUUUCACCGCCGUUUCUUUUACUCGCCGGAAUAGAGUUUUCUAGGUCAUGGUUACGGGAUACAUUUUCUAAGACUGUAAAAAUUAAUAUUUUUAAUAGAUAACCAUAGAUAUGUAACUAUGGUUAAUGUCAGUUUCA